rnacentral:lncRNA from 1 species
CUGUAGGAGCUGAAACUAUUCGAUGGUAACUGCCAAAGCUAACUACGCCUUAAGGGAGCAAAGCCCUUUGAGGGCUUUGGAUAGAGCCAUUAGAGUCUGUUAGUGCAUAGGGUCGAGAGGUGGAUGGUGCUGCUUGUGUUGUCUUCUUAGGCAUCAUGAUAGUUAUGGUUGAAUAGAAUCGUCGACUAUAGGAUCAAGGAACCUUUCUUUAACAUCAAUUUUGUUGGCGUUGAGGAUCGAUUUGGCUCAGGCCGAUGAGUUGAAGUAUUGGAGAGGUGAUCAAGAGAUCUAGAUAACUAGCCAGAUAUUGUGGAGGAGUUGAUAAUGGCUGUAUCUUUGCUCC